rnacentral:rRNA from 1 species
GAUGAACGCUGGCGGCGUGCCUAAUACAUGCAAGUCGAGCGAACGGACGAGAAGCUUGCUUCUCUGAUGUUAGCGGCGGACGGGUGAGUAACACGUGGAUAACCUACCUAUAAGACUGGGAUAACUUCGGGAAACCGGAGCUAAUACCGGAUAAUAUUUUGAACCGCAUGGUUCAAAAGUGAAAGACGGUCUUGCUGUCACUUAUAGAUGGAUCCGCGCUGCACUAGCUAGUUGGUAAGGUAACGGCUUACCAAGGCAACGAUGCAUAGCCGACCUGAGAGGGUGAUCGGCCACACUAGAACUGAGACACGGUCCAGACUCCUACGGGAGGCAGCAGUAGGGAAUCUUCCGCAAUGGGCGAAAGCCUGACGGAGCAACGCCGCGUGAGUGAUGAAGGUCUUCGGAUCGUAAAACUCUGUUAUUAGGGAAGAACAUAUGUGUAAGUAACUGUGCACAUCUUGACGGUACCUAAUCAGAAAGCCACGGCUAACUACGUG